CCCUUAGAUGAUCUGGGCUGCACGCGCGCUACACUGACCCUAACAAUGAGCAACUGUCUGGCCUGAGAUGGCUGGGUAGCCUUUUCAACCCAUGUCAUGAUUGGGCUAGAUUUUUGUAAGUCUUGAUCUCUAACGAGGAAUCCCUAGUAUGCGUGAAUCAUCAAUCCAUGCAGAUUAUGUCCCUGCCCUUUGUACACACCGCCCGUCGCUCCUACUGUUUGGGUGAUCCGGUGAGCUGUUCGGCCAUAGCAAUGUUUCUUGAGCAGGGCAAUGAAUGUUUCGCAAACCUUGCCACUUAGAGGAAGGAGAAGUCGUAACA
rnacentral:rRNA from 1 species